ACAAGUACCUUAAGGGAAAGUUGAAAUAGAACUUUGCAGAGAGAGUUAAGAGGGCGUGAAACCGUUAAUUGGCAAACGAAUCGGAGCCACGAAGUCGUUUCGUCGAGCCUAGAUCAAGUUCAGUUUGUAAAUUUAUUUACAGGCGUAUUCUUGUGUCUGGCCAAUGUAAGCGUACACUGCAACCAGUUAGACAAUCCCUCAUGGAACCAGCUGAUCUUAGAUGCGCAAGCUUCCAAGUUUAGCGAAAGGUUUGUUUAGUCAAGUUAGUAGUAGUGUGUUAAAGUCUCGUGCUUUAGUGUGCUGCUGGACUUGUGCUAAGUGAGCUAUGAGCAAAUACUGACUGGCAAAAUGAAAAUCACGCGCAAGCGUGUGAUAAAAUAGCAUCCUGCUGUAUGAUAGGCUACGCAAUCCACCGUAGGCAUAUUAAAGUUCGGUUCUUUUGAAUUUGGACUUGCUAGCUACCAAUGGGGCAACUCUUGGUGCUAGUAUAGCUUUCCAUCUAAUCGGGUGCCGGCUUGUAUCUACGUCGUUGUGUUUGCGCUACGAUUGGUUUACAUAUAAGUGGGUAUGUUCUAUAUUGGCAGUGAGUAGGUCGGCUUUCCGAACGACCCGUCUUGAAACACGGACCAAGG
rnacentral:rRNA from 1 species